rnacentral:lncRNA from 1 species
GCGGACGGGAGGAUGAAGGCUGUCGCUGAUGAUGAUGAAAGAAGGGAUUGGGACGAUGAGGUCGGGCAGCAGGAUGAUGAUGAGGCUGAAGAAUUUGAGGAGCUGGAGCUUGGGCUUUCUCUGGGGCGUUGGGGAUGCAAUUCAGGGCUGACGAAUGGUGGCAGGGAUGAUGGCGGAGAGCGCGACUGUGUCCUUCCCUUCCGGUGGAGAGGGGCAUCGGGUGCUCAUGGUUUUAUGAGAGGCAGUCAGCUACAAGGCAUUUCAUCGCAAGAUAAACAAAUUUGAGGACAUGGGGUGAGGAACUGGUGGGUGCGGUAGCUAUUGCCUCAGGAAAGAGAUGUUAGCUUGCCAGAUGAAGCAGUUUUCGAGAUGGAGAGAACUGGAUCAGAUAUAGACAGGGAUACUCAGCUCGAGCGGCCUAAAGUAUUUGCUUCCCCAAAGUAAGUUCUUGUUUUGUGUUAUCCUUGCCAUCUAACCCCUGUCAUGAUUUCCAUGUUUGAGUCGUCAAAAGUAAUAUAUUUCAUAAGUUGGUGCAUUCGUUUCGAAAGGUCUGUAUUUGCUACUAUGAUCUUUUCAUGCAAAUGCUUUUCAUGAAAAUUCUAAGACGAUUGAUUUGGUAAUUACUGUAUGGAUUCAAAUACUUGCAACAUUCCGACCACACCAUAAUGAUAUAAUACUUGUAUACCAAUGUACCAAUGAUAUUGGUUGGUACCGACACACUGAAUAUUUUCUGUAAUUUUAUGGUGUACGAGGCACACCAUAUUUUGAGACUCUUCUAUCUAUAGGUACCAAUAUUGGUAUUUUGAGCCGGGAGACCACUUUUCCAAACAUCUAAGCUAGUGGGAAAGCUCCAAGCUUAUUUAUAAGCUUAAACAUCCCUUUCAUGUAUAUGCCAGAUGAAAGAUUGUUGGACUUAGCAUGUUAAUGCGAUUUAGGAUACAAACUCAUGAUUUGCUUUGAUACCAUGCUAAUACAAGUAGUUGGAUGUACUGCCACUUUUCCAAUAGCUUAGAUUAGUUCGGAAGGAGCUAAUUUAUAUUAUAUAAGCCCCACAAUGUGCACCCUUAUAACUAGGAAAUUAGAAUAUCUAGGGAAAUCAAUACACUUGACAAAGGGCAAAAUUGAGAAGUGGUUUUACUAAAAAAAUGAGAUAACAAAAAAUAGAAUUUCUUAGUAUGUUUUGGGCAUUACAAGUAGAUUUUCUUUGUAGUACCCAAUUGAGUGGGAAGGGAGUCCGAGUUGGAGGUGUUAUAUGGCACAUAUGAAGACCAAAGAAGUUUUUGAGUAAUUCGGGAAAAGGUGUUGCCCACUCUGAUUAAAGGAAUGAUCCCUAUUCUAAGCAGAAUGUCUGACAAAGUUUUUUAAUUACUUUCAGGUUUUAGAAUUAUUAAAGAUCUUUGUUAAAUUAAACUGACAAUGUUUAUGAUGUAAUGCAUAUGAUGGAAUUUCCAGAUACUUGAACAUAAACUCGUGUUGCCUAGUUAAUUGAGUUUCAUGUGUGUUUCUUGGUCAUUGUCCCAGCAAUUGAGAUUUCAACCCUUUAAGAAGUUUCUCUAUCACAACCUAUUCCUCAUUUACUUCGUUGAUGCUGUUUUGAAUCUUAUACAGCCCAAGCAUGAUGACUUGAAGGGAACAGAUUAAUUCUUUUCUCUCAGAAGAAAUUUCUCAGAAGUCUUCAAGUUUCAGAGGUCCAAUAUGCAUACCCUUCUGUACCGUAAGACUUCAGGUCCUCAAACCAGAGACUCUCUUGAGUUUCUUCUCUAUUGGCAUUUCCAUGCAUGGUGAACCAACCAGAAAAAUGAAUCAUAUCCCACAAGAAGGAAUUUGUCGUCACCACAAAUCAUUUUUUCAUUGUCUUCAAGAACUUCUUUUGUUGGAGAAUCGCUGCUAUUUGCAGCUUGAAUAGAGAACAAACUAUAAGGCAACGUGGGCUUGAUUAUUUGGUUUUUGUGCUCGACAAAAUCAUGGGUUAGUCACUUUCGACAAUGCUUUAGUUGUCACUCUUUAUGGAGACAUGUUAUUGUUGCAUCUUCCUCCGAGAUGCUUAAACUUACAUUAGUUGUGACUCUUCUUCUUAUCUUGCAAUUUCCACAAUGAACCACAGCCUCUUCUUGAUUUUGAAGUCUACAUCAUCUUACCAUCCAAUCCCAUAGUAGGUACUUAUCAAUUUUACCUCUCCAUGCUAAUCAUUAUUAGUUUUAUUUAUAGGCAAUUUGGAUCUUGUAGACUUAAAUACAGUGAACUUUGCUAUCUAAGCUGAAAUAAUACUGAAUGGCAUAGCAGCUCUUUGGUCAAAGCAGAGUUCCAGGCAGGAGAUUGCUCCGACAUGGGCAAGAUCACUCUAAAGGAGCUUCUCAGAUUAGAUAUAUCCUCUCUGCAUAAUAUUGUUUUUUUUUUGUACCCUUUCCGUUUACAAAUAAAUUAUAGACCAUUUGCAGGCUUUGAAGGCAUCUUUCAACACUUUUGCUGAAAGCGAUCUUUCCUAAUCGACCAUACACUUUAUGCAGAGUCAUAAUCAGUAAUUCAUGUCUUGUUUCUGUGGUCAACACCCUGCGAGUCAUGUGAGUGGCUUGCUGUCAAUUGGCAUUGACGAAUUUUUUUUAAUAUAAAAUUAACUAUUACUUAUUAAAAAACUAUAUGCAUAUUCGGAUUGUAUGCUGCGAGGAGAUGUGCUUCGAUAUUUAUAUUUCUCGAAACAUGAAGAAAUUUAAAUACUUUGACUUUCCUUUGAUAUGGAUUUUGUAAUAAUGAUAUAAGUGUCAAGUUUGCCUUAUCGAUAUAAUUUGUAUAUAUUUUUUGAGUUUGAGCGUAUUUGAAUAUUUUGGAUUCCAAGAGAAUAAGUUUUAAGAAAGUCUUUAGUCGAAGUUGUCGGUAGCACGACGACAAGCUCCAAUAGUAAUUAUCAUUCUUCUAUCUAAAAUUUUGUAAAUCUCAAAUUAGACGUAAAAGCUUUUAUUAUAAUUAGUAAUAUAGUUAAAAUUAUGAGACAGUAAUGAAUAGUUUAAAUUAGUAUUAGUAGUCAUCCCCUCAAUAAUGUUUCUAUAAAGAAAUAAAUUAGAUGCGAUAGUGAAGUAGCAAUGAAGCUGAGAAUGGUUGUAGGGAAUUAGAAGAAGAAAUCUCAAGAAAUAGGAAGAUGAUCUCAAAACAUAUUUCAAAAAAAUAUUUUAAUUUUUAGGUAAACAUUUAAAUCGCACGUCAAUAUUCCUCUUCCUUCAAUUCCUUCUUUUUUCGAUAAUUGAUAAGUGUUUUUAGAGUACACGAUAGCCGAUUAUAAGUGUAGAACCGAACUCUCGACUUUAAAAAAUAGAAUUGAAGUAGUUGAAUCUUAUAUAUAAUGAUAGAGGUAAAGGUACCAUUACCUAAAUUUUUUAUUUUUUUCUUUCGUACAACUUUAUUGCCCAUCUAAUUCAUUCCUAUGCGCCUUUAAUCUCGUAUCGAUAAAACCAGUUGUUUAAUGAAAUUUUUAUCACCAAUCUAAUUCAUUUCUUACCCUUUAUCGAUAAUUUUUAUCACCAAGCUUUGUCAUUUGAAAUAAAAAUCCAACGAUCGAGUUGCUUGUAAUAUGAAUUUUUUUUUUUUUAACAAGGAUUGGAUGAAAACAAUCUUAUUGUGUUAAGGAAUUCUAGAAUGAUUUUUAAAGAAGUUAGAUAUCAAAAAGUAGGUAUUUAAGGUGUUUGGAUUGAUAUAUAUUAGCAAUUCAUAGUUCUUAGAGGCAAAGAUAUUUGAUCCUAUAGUCAUCUACUUUUUGAUACCUAAUUUGGGGUUGCCAAAUAAGAGAAAAUAAAAGCUUCCAAUUAGCAAAUGAUUGAGUGUUUUAUUUUAAAUCUCAAGAGUUAUCUUAUCAUUAUUAUUAAUAAGGAUUUUGUCCUAUGAAAUGAAUACAUUUUUGACAGUGUGAUGCUGAAUACCCAAACCAUCAUUUUAUUAUUUUAAUUAUUAUUCUAAAAAAACUAUUUGGAUAUUAUUGAGAAUCUGUUUAGACAUUUCAUGUUCAUAAGAAAAUGAAUAAGAAUCGAAUUAACAGCAGAAUUGAUCUUUGACUGAGAGAUGAGACAACAUUUUGGCAAAUAAAAUUCUGAUUUAAUCUGUAUCAAUGUUCCACUGAGUUUACUUACACAUGCCCGCCCACAACUUACAUAGAUCUUCCAUCGAGCACCUAUAGAUUGAGAUUCUAAUACAAUAUCUCUUUGUCAACGUUGGUCAACGGACGUUCUACAGUUGUCAACGCAGGUCGACGGACGCACUGAGGAUGCAGAUCAAAGUCACACAGGCUGCACCUGCAAUGAAUUCCUCGCACCGGCAACUGGCAACCGUCGCAGAAUCUUUGGCCAAACGGGUGGGGCGUCGACUGCGGCGACAGCCGGUAAUGCAAGCACAGUUCUUGUGGAGGUCGAAGUCGCUGGCGUCGCAGCGGUAGUGGGAGCCGAAGCCGGGGCACCGACAGCAUCCGGAACAAGGGUCGCUUCGGCCCUGUCCAUCGCUCUAGCUCUUCGCGCCCGGGAAGGAGAAGAGAUCACAGGUAUUUAUAGACUCGGGAGAGGGAAGCAGCAAAGCAAGCACGUUUAUCGAAUUCAUUUAUUGCGACGCCGCUGAUGUCAAUGGCGGCGUUGACUUUUUUUUUCGGCAGUGAAUGCGUCUCUUGACUUGGACGUCGUCUUCGCGUGGAACACGUCGGUCACCUCAGCUGGACUUCUGAUCUCGGACUAUAUUCUUCUGAUUCAUCGAAUCAUAUUUCUCAUGCUUUAUCUAAAAACGGACGAGCAAACAAGUGUUUUUUGGAUUCCUAAAUGAAUGAUAUGAUGAGCAUCGGAUGAUAUCUCCCAAGAACAGACGAAUUCAUUCAUUGAGAGCCACCGAUGUCAGUGACGGCGUUGACAUUUUGGUCGUCGUCUUCGCUGGAACUCGUCGUUCAUCUCAUGUUAGCUUUUGAUCUCAGACUAUCUUCCGAUUUCAUCAAAUCAUAAUAAUAUUUCUCAUGCUUAAUCCAAAACGGAGGAGCUCACAAGUGUUUGUAGGAUUCCUAAAUUAAUGAUAUAUUAAUUUAUUUGUUUAUUUGAAGGUAGACCGACCUCCUUCGCCUCGGGAUCAUAUCUUCCCUGCUUCGACUAGAUCGGGCAACUCCUAAUUCUAUCUUGCUCUGCCCCCCACGUGUCAGCUUAGGUAGACCCAAUCGGGGACGGUUGGGGAGACAGGGAAGCAGGAACGGGAUGGUGGAGCCCGCAUCUUCCGCCGAAUCGGGAAGGGCGGUUCCGUGUUUGGUAAACUGAUCGGUCCACUCAACAAAUGUUGGAUCCCUUCCGCUACAUCCUCACAGUUAAUGAAUUAUAUACUUCUUAAAAGGGAAUAAAAAGAGAAGAAAAGAAAAAGAAAAGGACGCGAGAGCGAAGGAAGCGAAGCGGCGAGAAAAUCGAAGAGGGGGAAGAAGAGAGAACUAAUUCGCAGCUAUAUAUAUGUAUUAAAUAUAUGUAAUCGUAAUUUCCGAUCCACUUUCCUUCCGCUCGAGCGGCCUCGACGACACAAGGAACUCGUAUCAAACCGCUGCGGACUUCCUCUGAUUUUUCCAAGGUAGAAACCCUAAUUUUCUUGCGCGAAAUCGAGAAAGAUUUCGUCUUCCGAUCGUUUUGAUGAAGUAAAGGUUCUUGGGAGUUAAAAGAUCGGUCUUUUUAAACGAUUUUCUUAGUGUUAUCUGAAUGCUCGAGAUCGAGAAAGAUCGCGCCGUUCCGUCGUGUUGAUUGACACUAAGGUUCUUGGGAGGAAAAAGAUCGCUUUUUUUUUUGACGAUUUUUUCGUGCUUUUUUGUUUUUUUGAGGGCGUUUUGAUUUCAGGGCUCCGAUCCAUUGGGAUUCAAGUGUGGGGUUAGGGUUUGCUGGUACUUGGACCCAAGGCUGGAAUUAGGUUUCUCUUCGUGCGCUAAUUUUUUUCUUUUUCGUGGUAGUCUUUGGAUUUUGACUAGGGUUAGGGUUUUCCUUCGGCACGACUGCUUGAGGGCCUACGUGCCGUUGCGGGAUGGCGGACGGUAGGAUGAAGGCUGUCGCUGAUGAUGAUGAAAGAAGGGAUGGGGACGAUGAGGUCGGGCGGCAGGAUGAUGACGAGGCUGAAGAAUUUGAGGAGCUGGAGCUUGGACUUUCUCUGGGGCGUUGGGGAUGGAAUUCAGGGCUGACGAAUGGUGGCAGGGAUGAUGGCGGAGAGCGCGAUUGUGUCCUUCCGGUGGAGAGGGGCAUCGGG